rnacentral:lncRNA from 1 species
AUGUCUUCUAUCUUCGGUUUAGGCUCUUCAAUAAUCACUUGUGCCAUGUAAAUGACACAACCUUUCUUUAGACAUUUUGAAGCCUUGAGCAUAGUCACUUGCUCAGGCAAUCCGUACUGGGUAUCUCCCCGAAUGGUAAGCGAGUCACCAGACGGAGUCUUUAUCACCACUUAUUUUCUGUUGCAGACGAUUUGGGCCUGGUUGUGAGCUAACCAGUCCAUACCCAAUACUAUGUCAAAACCGGCCAAAUUAAAGGGAAGUAGAGAUAGAGGAAAAUAGUGGUUCUUAAUGGAUAUCUCACAUCCAUCUAACACAAUGGAGACGGUUUCUAUGGCAUAUUCUGUAAUUUGCAAAAUUUAUGAUCUACGAAAGACUUAUCAGCGCCCGAAUCAAAAAGUACUCUUGCAAAGAUAUUAUUUACGAGAAAAGUACCUGUGAUCACGUUAUCAUCUAGCACUGCUUCUUUCGCCUCCAUCCUGAAGACUCUUGCAUUGGUCUUCUUGGCUUCUUCAGGCUUCUUGGCAUAUUUAGGGCAGUUGCUUUUAAUGUGCCCUUUCUCGUUGCAGCCGUAGCAGGUUGCAUCCUUUAUCUUUUUGCAAUCCACGGUCUUGUGGUCCUUGGACUUGCAUAACCCGCAAGCAUACGACUU